rnacentral:rRNA from 1 species
GAUGAACGCUGGCGGCGCGCCUAACACAUGCAAGUCGAACGGCACCCACCUCCGGGUGGAAGCGAGUGGCGAACGGCUGAGUAACACGUGGAGAACCUGCCCCCUCCCCCGGGAUAGCCGCCCGAAAGGACGGGUAAUACCGGAUACCCCGGGGUGCCGCAUGGCACCCCGGCUAAAGCCCCGACGGGAGGGGAUGGCUCCGCGGCCCAUCAGGUAGACGGCGGGGUGACGGCCCACCGUGCCGACAACGGGUAGCCGGGUUGAGAGACCGACCGGCCAGAUUGGGACUGAGACACGGCCCAGACUCCUACGGGAGGCAGCAGUGGGGAAUCUUGCGCAAUGGGGGGAACCCUGACGCAGCGACGCCGCGUGCGGGACGGAGGCCUUCGGGUCGUAAACCGCUUUCAGCAGGGAAGAGAAGAGACUGUACCUGCAGAAGAAGCCCCGGCUAACUACGUGCCAGCCGCCGCCGUAA